CGACGGGUGAGUAACGCGUGGGUAACCUGCCUUGCACUGGGGGAUAACACUUAGAAAUAGGUGCUAAUACCGCAUAAGCGCACGGUCCUGCAUGGGACAGUGUGAAAAACUCCGGUGGUGCAAGAUGGACCCGCGUCUGAUUAGCUGGUUGGCGGGGUAAAGGCCCACCAAGGCGACGAUCAGUAGCCGGCCUGAGAGGGUGAACGGCCACAUUGGGACUGAGACACGGCCCAGACUCCUACGGAAGGCAGCAG
rnacentral:rRNA from 1 species